rnacentral:rRNA from 1 species
GACGAACGCUGGCAGCGUGCCUAAUACAUGCAAGUAGAACGCUGAAGAGAGGAGCUUGCUCUUCUUGGAUGAGUUGCGAACGGGUGAGUAACGCGUAGGUAACCUGCCUUGUAGCGGGGGAUAACUAUUGGAAACGAUAGCUAAUACCGCAUAACAAUGGAUGACACAUGUCAUUUAUUUGAAAGGGGCAAUUGCUCCACUACAAGAUGGACCUGCGUUGUAUUAGCUAGUAGGUGAGGUAAUGGCUCACCUAGGCGACGAUACAUAGCCGACCUGAGAGGGUGAUCGGCCACACUGGGACUGAGACACGGCCCAGACUCCUACGGGAGGCAGCAGUAGGGAAUCUUCGGCAAUGGGGGCAACCCUGACCGAGCAACGCCGCGUGAGUGAAGAAGGUUUUCGGAUCGUAAAGCUCUGUUGUAAGUCAAGAACGGGUGUGAGAGUGGAAAGUUCACACUGUGACGGUAGCUUAACAGAAAGGGACGGCUAACUACGUG